rnacentral:lncRNA from 1 species
UUUUACGUAACCAUAAUGAUUAUAAUCUUUAUGAAACUUGAAAAUUUGUCAGUAAAAAGAAAUAAAAAAAAGAAAAUCAGUGAUUUGAAACAAUAGAUAUUUGAAGAGUUUACGGAAGUAUUUUAAUUUUUUUUAGUUUUCUUUAUUUGUUUAAUUUGAAGGUGGAAAUGGACAAUGUGUAAAUUAUAAUGGUCUAAUCUCGUGGUUUAUGUUUUAAAAACUGUAAAUACUGUGAUGGAAUAUUCAAAGAACUUGGUGAAAAAAGAAAAUUGUUCAAUUGCCAUUAAUAAAUUUGUAAUAAUUUGUAAUGAAAUGACAACAUUCGUUUCAUUAGAAUCCAUUGUGCAUUGUGUUUUCAUGUGAAAAUGGCGAAGGAAGUUUUGACUCUAGUCUUCUUAAAUAUUAAAAAAUUCAUCCAAUAUGCCUGUCAUUGCACACUGCCAACGUACACAGGCAACCAUAAGAUGUUAUGCAGAUGCACGACCAUUGACUUUAAAGCUAUUCUAUUCUAUCAUCUUUAAACGUAAUGAAACGAAGCAAGAAAUUUGGUUACCAGAUAUAGGAACUUUUGAUCCUUCGAUAAUAACGUUGUAUCUAAAAAUAUAAUGGCCGUAAAAUACUGAGCUUGGAUUAAACAUCCAUCAGGUUAAAAUAUUCAUUUUUCUCAUUUUUGAUUAGAAAAUUAAAACGGACAGAAUUUAAUCAUUAUUUUUGUUCUUCUUCUAUGAUUAUAGUAAACAAUUUAAAGUUGUGAAUAUUAAUUUAGAUAAAAAUGAUUUGAGCGUAUCAAAAGAACAUUAACAUUAACGUAUUACGUAACAGGAUGAACAAGAUAAAAUAGUAAGCAUUGAUUUCGAUAAUCUAAUUACGGAUGAUGCAGAUACACAUUUCGAGAUGGUACUUUAGCAAUUGAAAGAUUAGAUGGAAAUAAAUUAUAUUUAGAUUCAACGACUCAAUUUAGAAUGU